GACGAACGCUGGCGGCGUGCCUAAUACAUGCAAGUUGAGCGCUGAAGGUUGGUACUUGUACCGACUGGAUGAGCAGCGAACGGGUGAGUAACGCGUGGGGAAUCUGCCUUUGAGCGGGGGACAACAUUUGGAAACGAAUGCUAAUACCGCAUAAAAACUUUAAACACAAGUUUUAAGUUUGAAAGAUGCAAUUGCAUCACUCAAAGAUGAUCCCGCGUUGUAUUAGCUAGUUGGUGAGGUAAAGGCUCACCAAGGCGAUGAUACAUAGCCGACCUGAGAGGGUGAUCGGCCAAAUUGGGACUGAGACACGGCCCAAACUCCUACGGGAGGCAGCAGUAGGGAAUCUUCGGCAAUGGACGAAAGUCUGACCGAGCAACGCCGCGUGAGGGAAGAAGGUUUUCGGAUCGUAAAACUCUGUUGGUAGAGAAGAACGUUGGUGGGAGUGGAAAGCUCAUCAAGUGACGGUAACUACCCAGAAAGGGACGGCUAACUACGUG
rnacentral:rRNA from 1 species